rnacentral:rRNA from 1 species
GAAAGAAGUUUUAAAAGGACGGCGUAAAGCUGUCGCUAAAAGGGAUGGACCUGCGAUGCAUUAGCUAGUUGGUAAGGUAACGGGCUUUACCAAGGCGAUGAUGCAUAGCCCGAGUUGAGAGACUGAUCGGCCACAUUGGGGACUGAGACACGGGCCCAAACUCCUACGGGAGGCAGCAGUAGGGAAUCUUCCACAAUGGACGAAAGUCUGAUGGAGCAAACGCCGCGUGAGUGAAGAAGGUUUUCGGAUCGUAAAGCUCUGUUGUUGGUGAAGAAGGAUAGAGGUAGUAACUGGCCCUUUAUUUGACGGUAAUCAACCAGAAAGUCACGGGCUAACUACGUGCCAGCAGCCGCGGUAAAU